rnacentral:lncRNA from 1 species
GAUUCAUUCAUUCAUAUUUGGAUUGAGGCAUACAGCAUGAUAUCUGUUAUUGCUUUCGUUUACAUAUCUAUCUAUCUAUCUGCAUAUGCCUUAAACCUAGUAGGGAGAUCGGCGGAGUCGGCGGCCGAACCCACUGGGAACUAUUCGUAGUUCUCACCCCACCAUGUUGCAGGGCCGAGUGCGAGCGCUCCGGGCGAGGAUCGCGGUAAGGGCUUAGCGCCCUAGAGAUAGCUACAGCCUCCUUUUGCAUUAGAGACACCUGAGG